GUCCCGGUCCGGGCCCCUCUGGCGAUGACGGCGGUCGUCGCGAUGUCGGACCUUUCGU
rfam:Caenispirillum salinarum AK4 contig5, whole genome shotgun sequence.